rnacentral:rRNA from 1 species
CUACGGGCGGAGCAGUGAGGAAUAUUGCACAAUGGGGGGAACCCUGAUUCAGCAACGCCGCGUGGAGGAUGACGCAUUUCGGUGUGUAAACUCCUUUUAUAUGUCAAGAAAAUGACGGUAGCAUAUGAAUAAGCGCCGGCUAACUCUGUGCCAGCAGCCGCGGUAAUACGGAGGGCGCAAGCGUUACUCGGAAUCACUGGGCGUAAAGGACGCGUAGGCGGGUUGAAAAGUCAGGUGUGAAAGCCUACAGCUUAACUGUAGAACUGCACUUGAAACUCUCAACCUAGAGUAUGGGAGGGGCAGAUGGAAUUAGUGGUGUAGGGGUAAAAUCCGUAGAUAUCACUAGGAAUACCUAAAGCGAAGGCGAUCUGCUGGAACAUUACUGACGCUAAGGCGUGAAAGCGUGGGGAGCAAACAGGAUUAGAUACCCGCGUAGUC